rnacentral:rRNA from 1 species
CCCUCGGAAACGGGGGCUAAUACCGAAUAGGACCCACGAUCGCAUGGUUGUGGGUGGAAAGUUUUUCGGCCUGGGAUGGGCUCGCGGCCUAUCAGCUUGUUGGUGGGGUGAUGGCCUACCAAGGCGACGACGGGUAGCCGGCCUGAGAGGGCGACCGGCCACACUGGGACUGAGACACGGCCCAGACUCCUACGGGAGGCAGCAGUGGGGAAUAUUGCACAAUGGGCGGAAGCCUGAUGCAGCGACGCCGCGUGAGGGAUGACGGCCUUCGGGUUGUAAACCUCUUUCAGCAGGGACGAAGCGUAAGUGACGGUACCUGCAGAAGAAGCACCGGCCAACUACGUGCCAGCAGCCGCGGUAAGACGUAGGGUGCGAGCGUUGUCCGGAUUUAUUGGGCGUAAAGAGCUCGUAGGCGGCUUGUCGCGUCGACUGUGAAAACCCGCAGCUCAACUGCGGGCCUGCAGUCGAUACGGGCAGGCUAGAGUUCGGUAGGGGAGACUGGAAUUCCUGGUGUAGCGGUGAAAUGCGCAGAUAUCAGGAGGAACACCGGUGGCGAAGGCGGGUCUCUGGGCCGAUACUGACGCUGAGGAGCGAAAGCGUG